UAUGUGUUUGCAGGAGAGGAAUCGAGCAGAGAGAGCUGCUUUUUCAUGAAACCGGAGUAAAGUAGUGAACUUACAGGAACAUAUACAACUACCAACGUUGGGGUCAAUUUCUGCAUCGAUCCGCACACCCUUGUCUCCUGGAUCGUAGCUCAGAUCAGCGUGAACCACGUGGGUCUCUGCUCCCUGAUCUGUGUCCUGUGUUUGGAAAAACUUCCAGCUUCAUCACGGAGUUUCUCUCGGUUUGUGGGCUCAUCUAAAGCUGAGAGUCUGGUGGAACAACAGAGGAACAAUUUCAGCCAUUUGGACUCAGCUCAGCCACUACAGAGGAAACAAUGUCUUCAACACAAAAGGACCAACAUGGAGCGAGAAGUCAGCGCUCUCAGGAGGCCGACAAACCUCAC